AACGAACGCUGGCGGCAGGCUUAACACAUGCAAGUCGAACGCCCCGCAAGGGGAGUGGCAGACGGGUGAGUAACGCGUGGGAAUCUACCCAGAUCUUCGGAACAACUGAGGGAAACUUCAGCUAAUACCGGAUACGCCCUACGGGGGAAAGAUUUAUCGGAGAUGGAUGAGCCCGCGUUGGAUUAGCUAGUUGGUGGGGUAAAGGCCUACCAAGGCGACGAUCCAUAGCUGGUCUGAGAGGAUGAUCAGCCACAUUGGGACUGAGACACGGCCCAAACUCCUACGGGAGGCAGCAGUGGGGAAUAUUGGACAAUGGGCGCAAGCCUGAUCCAGCCAUGCCGCGUGAGUGAUGAAGGCCCUAGGGUUGUAAAGCUCUUUCACCGAUGAAGAUAAUGACUGUAGUCGGAGAAGAAGCCCCGGCUAACUUCGUGCCAGCAGCCGCCGUAAUAC
rnacentral:rRNA from 1 species